UUUACAUCUGUAGUUUAUAGGAUGAGCACCUCCGAAGGAGGUUUGAGCCGAGCGCAGCGAGACAACGUUGCUUUAGCAACGGCCCGCAGGGCAGCAUCGCAGAUGCAGUCAUCCUCUCUCGCCGACCA
rnacentral:sRNA from 1 species